AUUGAACGCUGGUGGUAUGCUUAACACAUGCAAGUCGAACGGUAACAGGUCUUCGGAUGCUGACGAGUGGCGGACGGGUGAGUAACGCGUAGGAAUCUGCCUACAAGUGGGGGAUACCGAUUGGAAACGAUCGUUAAUACCGCAUGAUAAUUUAGGUUUAAAGGUGGCUUUAGGGCUGCCGCUUGUAGAUGAGCCUGCGUAAGAUUAGCUAGUUGGUGGGGUAAGGGCCCACCAAGGCGACGAUCUUUAGCUGAUUUGAGAGGAUGAUCAGCCACACUGGAACUGAGACACGGUCCAGUCUCCUACGGGAGGCAGCAGUGGGGAAUAUUGGACAAUGGGGGAAACCCUGAUCCAGCAAUACCAUGUGUGUGAAGAAGGCCUUAGGGUUGUAAAGCACUUUAGUUGGGGAGGAAGUUUAGCAAGUUAAUAGCUAGUUAAAUUGACGUUACCCAAAGAAUAAGCACCGGCUAACUCCGUG
rnacentral:rRNA from 1 species